AGAUUUAAAUCUGAUUUAAUUUUCUAAUCAAAUUAGAAAUUAGAUUGACCCAAGUCCUAGUUGAACUAGGACUAGUUUUUUCUUGCACUUGGCUUAUCCAAUAAACCAAUUAGACUUGAUCCAAUCAAACCCAAACUAAAUCUAAUUAAAUUAUAUUUAAUUAGACUUAAUCUCAACCCAUUGGCUUAAUCAAAUUAAGCCAAUUAGCAAUCGAAUUGCUAAUUGAUCCUCCUGCAACACUUGCACUGGGUUAAAUGUCAAUCGUAUUGAUCAUUUAACCCUAGAACGAUUCUUAAUCAUUGAUCAACCAUCCGAUUGGAUCAUGAACUCUAAUGUAUGUGAUCUCAUAGGUCCGAACCUAAGCCAGUAGCAUAGGAAUAAAUUCUUAUACCAAUCAAAGUGACCAUCUAGCAAUGGUACCCGAC
rnacentral:lncRNA from 1 species